rnacentral:misc_RNA from 4 species
CCGAGUUUACAACUCCCAAACCCCUGUGAACAUACCUUAAUGUUGCCUCGGCGGAUCAGCCCGCGCCCCGUAAAACGGGACGGCCCGCCAGAGGACCCAAACUCUAAUGUUUCUUAUUGUAACUUCUGAGUAAAACAAACAAAUAAAUCA